GCCUGGCUAGCUCAAUCGGUAGAGCGUGAGACUCUUAUUCUAAGGUCAUCUCAAGGCUGUGGGUUCAAGCCCCACGUCGGGCU
rfam:Yarrowia lipolytica strain CLIB122 chromosome A complete sequence.